UGCGUGCUUUAAGGAGGCCCACGGGUGGUUCUGAUACCCACUGAAGUUGGACAGGCAUUACCAUAGGAUGAAAGAAAAUGCUGGUGGGAGAAAGAGAUGUAGAUAGGUGUCCAAAUCACUGGGCUGGAGAUCAGAUAACCUGAGGUCUACACCAAGCUCUGUUGCUCAGUCUCAUGCAUCUACACAUACCACUUCAGCUUUCUGUGCCUCUAUUUGCUUACCUAUAAAUGGAGUGGACCCACAGCCUUUCUGACUUAUUCAGGUAUUAAGGGGCCCCACCUAAGGAUGGCGACACAAACAAUCAAAAUCCAGCAGCAGCAGUACCAUUAUGGAGCUGAUGACUUGGUCCUGGUUUUUCAUCUACGGUUUUUAAAUGCAGUAUUUUAUCUGUUUCAAAUUGUCUCUCUUUUACGAUACCUUUCCUUGGCCCCUUCGUAUACCUUGAGAAGAAAAAUACGUAUCAAAAUUAGAGAUAAGAGGCUAAGAGAAAUCCAUUUUUAUUAUCUGCUAUUUCUUAAGGUUUUUCGCUCAUUUUAGCUUCAUGCUUUUAAGUAAAGUCGUUAUCCAAUUUAAUUUAUUCUCCUUGAUCCUUAGCUGCACUUUAGUGCACCAUAAAGAUAUGACAGUGAACUUUUUUGAAGAUGAACCAUUAGAAUAUGCCUCUAAAAAGGCUCUUUUGCUUGAAAAAAAAUGUGCCCUGUUUUCAUGAAAAGCUCUCAAGAUUUCACACGGAAAA